UACGGAGGGUGCUAGCGUUGUUCGGAAUCACUGGGCGUAAAGGGCGUGUAGGCGGUCCGCUAAGUCUGAUGUGAAAUCCCCUCGCUCAACGAGGGAACUGCGUCGGAUACUGGUGGACUCGAGUACCGGAGAGGAAGGUGGAAUUCCCGGUGUAGCGGUGAAAUGCGUAGAUAUCGGGAGGAACAUCGGUGGCGAAGGCGGCCUUCUGGACGGAUACUGACGCUGAGACGCGAAAGCGUGGGGAGCAAAC
rnacentral:rRNA from 1 species